GAGAGAUUAGUUCAGUGGAAGAACAGUUGUUUUACACACAAAAGGUCAGAGGUUCGAAUCCUCUAUUUCUCA
rnacentral:tRNA from 2 species